AAGUUAAGCUCUCUAGCGCUGAUGGUACUUGGUGGGAAGCUGCCUGGGAGAGUAGGACAUAGCCAGGUGAUGUGCCGAAGUGGCGGAACUGGCAGACGCACAGGACUUAAAAUCCU
rnacentral:rRNA from 1 species